rnacentral:rRNA from 1 species
UCAGUAACACGUAGUCAACAUGCCCAGGGGACGUGGAUAACCUCGGGAAACUGAGGAUAAACCGCGAUAGGUCACUACUUCUGGAAUGGGUAAUGACCCAAACCUAUAUGGCCCCUGGAUUGGACUGCGGCCGAUCAGGCUGUUGGUGAGGUAAUGGCCCACCAAACCUGUAACCGGUACGGGCUCUGAGAGGAGGAGCCCGGAGAUGGGCACUGAGACAAGGGCCCAGGCCCUAUGGGGCGCAGCAGGCGCGAAACCUCUGCAAUAGGCGAAAGCUUGACAGGGUUACUCUGAGUGAUUUCCGUUAAGGAGAUCUUUUGGCACCCCUAAAAAUGGUGCAGUAAUAAGGGGUUGGCAAGUCUGGUGCCAGC